rnacentral:rRNA from 1 species
ACGAACGCUGGCGGCGCGCCUAACACAUGCAAGUCGAACGGAGCUUAGAGAGCUUGCUUUUUAAGCUUAGUGGCGAACGGGUGAGUAACGCGUGAGUAACCUGCCCUAGAGUGGGGGACAACAGUUGGAAACGACUGCUAAUACCGCAUAAGCCCACGGUGCCGCAUGACACUGAGGGAAAAGGAUUUAUUCGCUUUAGGAUGGACUCGCGUCCAAUUAGCUAGUUGGUGAGGUAACGGCCCACCAAGGCGACGAUUGGUAGCCGGACUGAGAGGUUGAACGGCCACAUUGGGACUGAGACACGGCCCAGACUCCUACGGGAGGCAGCAGUGGGGGAUAUUGCACAAUGGGGGAAACCCUGAUGCAGCGACGCCGCGUGGAGGAAGAAGGUUUUCGGAUUGUAAACUCCUGUCGUUAGGGACGAUAAUGACGGUACCUAACAAGAAAGCACCGGCUAACUACGUGCCAGCAGCCGCGGUAAAACGUAGGGUGCAAGCGUUGUCCGGAAUUACUGGGUGUAAAGGGAGCGCAGGCGGGAAGACAAGUUGGAAGUGAAAACCAUGGGCUCAACCCAUGAAUUGCUUUCAAAACUGUUUUUCUUGAGUAGUGCAGAGGUAGAUGGAAUUCCCGGUGUAGCGGUGGAAUGCGUAGAUAUCGGGAGGAACACCAGUGGCGAAGGCGGUCUACUGGGCACCAACUGACGCUGAGGCUCGAAAGCAUGGGUAGCAAACAGGAUUAGAUACCCUGGUAGUCCAUGCCGUAAACGAUGAUUACUAGGUGUUGGGGGAUUGACCCCCUCAGUGCCGCAGUUAACACAAUAAGUAAUCCACCUGGGGAGUACGACCGCAAGGUUGAAACUCAAAGGAAUUGACGGGGGCCCGCACAAGCAGUGGAGUAUGUGGUUUAAUUCGAAGCAACGCGAAGAACCUUACCAGGUCUUGACAUCGAGUGACGAACUUAGAGAUAAGUUUUUCCUUCGGGACACGAAGACAGGUGGUGCAUGGUUGUCGUCAGCUCGUGUCGUGAGAUGUUGGGUUAAGUCCCGCAACGAGCGCAACCCUUAUUGCCAGUUACUACGUUAAGAGGACUCUGGCGAGACUGCCGUUGACAAAACGGAGGAAGGUGGGGAUGACGUCAAAUCAUCAUGCCCUUUAUGACCUGGGCUACACACGUACUACAAUGGCGUUAAACAAAGAGAAGCAAGACCGCGAGGUGGAGCAAAACUCAAAAACAACGUCUCAGUUCAGAUUGCAGGCUGCAACUCGCCUGCAUGAAGUCGGAAUUGCUAGUAAUCGCGGAUCAGCAUGCCGCGGUGAAUACGUUCCCGGGCCUUGUACACACCGCCCGUCACACCAUGAGAGUUGGCAACACCCGAAGCCGGCGGCCCAACCCGCAAGGGAGGGAGCUGUCUAAGGUGGGGCUGAUGAUUGGGGUG